rnacentral:rRNA from 1 species
CAGUAGCCGCGGUAAUACGAAGGGUGCAAGCGUUAAUCGGAAUUACUGGGCGUAAAGCGUGCGUAGACGGUUUGUUAAGUCUGCUGUGAAAUCCCCGGGCUCAACCUGGGAAUGGCAGUGGAUACUGGCAAGCUAGAGUGUGUCAGAGGAUGGUGGAAUUCCCGGUGUAGCGGUGAAAUGCGUAGAGAUCGGGAGGAACAUCAGUGGCGAAGGCGGCCAUCUGGGACAACACUGACGCUGAGGCACGAAAGCGUGGGGAGCAAACAGGAUUAGAUACCCCCGUAGUCCCUGUCUCUUAUAC